ACAUAUAUACAGCAUGGAGUUAAUGCAUCGGAUCCCAUUAGAACUCUACAGUUAAGCACGCUCAAGCUAUAUUAGUAUUGGGAUGGGUGACCGCUUGAGAAGUCCUAGUAUUUUACAUGCC
rnacentral:rRNA from 1 species